CAUACUCCAGCUAUGCAUCUGUUCAACCCACCCCAUAGCCCAUACUCCAGCUAUGCAUAUGUUCAAUCAACCCCAUACGUAAUACUCUUCACACCUACCUUCUACUAUUCACUUCUUCUUCUUUAAAAAGAAGUAUCACACUCAACACAAAAAUUUUACCCAGCUCAAGAAAUUUCAAACGGUAUGCUUCUCCCCUCAUCAAAUCAUUUUUCUGCAAUUCAUUUCAGACUCCUUAAUCAGCCAAACUUUGCAUUCUCUUUGCAGAAAUCAACCAACAGAAUUUGUAGAAAGGUUCUACUUUAAACUUCUUUAACUUCAGCUCUUACUUCAAUAUUUCAGCAUGAUUUAAACACUCAACUAGACUUUACAAACCAACAAAUGCAUAAGGAACAGCGGCGCUCCUCGUCGUUGAAGAAGAGGGAGAGGGUCGGAUCGAGUUGUGAGUCUGUAGGAGAGAGAGAGAGAGAGUCUAGGGCGGCGGCGUGAAGCCGCUGGUGUUUGUCUGGCAGAGUCGAGAGGUCGAGGGAGGCGGCGGCAACUCCGCCGCUGCCAGGGGAGGAGACGGCGCAGGGUGCGUCUGUGUGUGAGCGUGCUCUGUUUCCAGAGAGAAGAGGGUGACCGGCGGCGGCCGAUUUUGCUCCGUGUGAGUCGGUGUGUGUGUUAGUGAGAUCUGCAGCUCGUGUGUGUGUGUUUCAAUUGUUGUGUGUGCGUGUUUCAGUUUGAAGGAAGAGAGGGAAUGAGUCAACGCAAAGUUAAAAGUGAGAGGAAGGAAAUUUGCGCUAAUCAGAUUGGGCCUUGCUCUAUUUGGGGUUGGGCUGUUGUGAGUCUUGUAGGCUUUGAUGACCAGGAGUUAUGAGUAAAACUAUAGAUUUUGCUUAAUUAGGUAGGCUUAUUUUUCAAAUGUAUGAUUGAGUUAUUAAGUUCUAAAUGUUUCAAUGACAUGUAAACUGUUUAUCCAAUAAAAUAUUUUG
rnacentral:lncRNA from 1 species